GCGGGGGUUGCCGAGUGGCCAAAGGCGUAGGAUUCAGGGUCCUAUCCCGUAGGGGUUCGGGGGUUCGAAUCCCUCCCCCCGCA
rnacentral:tRNA from 2 species